CCCUUCAUAGCUCAGUUGGUAGAGCAUUAGACUCUUAAUCUCAGGGUCGUGGGUUCAGUAUUUCUGCUUUGUAGGGG